rfam:Triticum aestivum genome assembly, contig: Triticum_aestivum_CS42_TGACv1_scaffold_194546_3AL
AUACUACUCCCUUCGUCCUGAAAUACUUGUCGGAGAAAUGGAUAAACCUAGACAUAUUUUAGUUAUAGAUACAUCCAAUUUUAUCCAUUUCCCGACAAGUAUUUUAGGACUGAGGGAGUACUAA